UGCAAGUCGAGCGGUAGAGAGAAGCUUGCUUCUCUUGAGAGCGGCGGACGGGUGAGUAAUGCCUAGGAAUCUGCCUGGUAGUGGGGGAUAACGUUCGGAAACGGACGCUAAUACCGCAUACGUCCUACGGGAGAAAGCAGGGGACCUUCGGGCCUUGCGCUAUCAGAUGAGCCUAGGUCGGAUUAGCUAGUUGGUGAGGUAAUGGCUCACCAAGGCGACGAUCCGUAACUGGUCUGAGAGGAUGAUCAGUCACACUGGAACUGAGACACGGUCCAGACUCCUACGGGAGGCAGCAGUGGGGAAUAUUGGACAAUGGGCGAAAGCCUGAUCCAGCCAUGCCGCGUGUGUGAAGAAGGUCUUCGGAUUGUAAAGCACUUUAAGUUGGGAGGAAGGGUUGUAGAUUAAUACUCUGCAAUUUUGACGUUACCGACAGAAUAAGCACCGGCUAACUCUGUGCCAGCAGCCGCGGUAAUACAGAGGGUGCAAGCGUUAAUCGGAAUUACUGGGCGUAAAGCGCGCGUAGGUGGUUUGUUAAGUUGGAUGUGAAAUCCCCGGGCUCAACCUGGGAACUGCAUUCAAAACUGACUGACUAGAGUAUGGUAGAGGGUGGUGGAAUUUCCUGUGUAGCGGUGAAAUGCGUAGAUAUAGGAAGGAACACCAGUGGCGAAGGCGACCACCUGGACUAAUACUGACACUGAGGUGCGAAAGCGUGGGGAGCAAACAGGAUUAGAUACCCUGGUAGUCCACGCCGUAAACGAUGUCAACUAGCCGUUGGAAGCCUUGAGCUUUUAGUGGCGCAGCUAACGCAUUAAGUUGACCGCCUGGGGAGUACGGCCGCAAGGUUAAAACUCAAAUGAAUUGACGGGGGCCCGCACAAGCGGUGGAGCAUGUGGUUUAAUUCGAAGCAACGCGAAGAACCUUACCAGGCCUUGACAUCCAAUGAACUUUCUAGAGAUAGAUUGGUGCCUUCGGGAACAUUGAGACAGGUGCUGCAUGGCUGUCGUCA
rnacentral:rRNA from 1 species